rnacentral:rRNA from 1 species
UACGUAGGUGGCAAGCGUUGUCCGGAUUUACUGGGCGUAAAGAGCGCGCAGGCGGUCGUUCAAGUCGCGUGUGAAAGCCCCCGGCUCAACUGGGGAGGGUCACGCGAUACUGAUCGACUCGAAGGCAGGAGAGGGUAGUGGAAUUCCCGGUGUAGUGGUGAAAUGCGUAGAUAUCGGGAGGAACACCAGUGGCGAAGGCGACUACCUGGCCUGUUCUUGACGCUGAGGCGCGAAAGCGUGGGGAGCGAACGAGG